rnacentral:lncRNA from 1 species
AGGUGCCAAUGUGGGAUAUUUAUCCUUGUUAGACGCUGACUAUGACAGAAGACCUCCAAACAAAUACUUUGCUAAGGCAGUGAACUACACAGUACAUUUCCAGUGGAUCCAAUGCCUGUUUUGGGAUGAGAGAGAGUGGAAAUCUGAAAGUUUCUCUCCACAACCAGGAACUUCUCCAGAAAAAGUUAAUUGCAGGUAUGAGCAUACUGUUGGGAAAGAGUCCGGGAAUUUUAGCAAGUGACUACAUUGGCUUCUUCAUUUGGUCUGGGCCCUGGAAUCUCUUCUGAAUCAUGUCCUCCCAUGAAUAGCUGGAAAAGUCUUGGAUGGCACAACCCUAACAGGAUGAGCCUUUUAUACCCAUUCUCAUGUCAGUCUUGAUUCUUCCAUGCUGUCCUGUGGCUCUGAGGGGAGGGGACUGAUUUCUACCUGGUCAUCAUGCCCACCCCUCCCAGUGAUGACUGCAGUGCAGUAGCUAUUUAUUGAGCUUCUUUCUACUCAGAAAAGAUUCAAUAGAGAAGAGGCAACAGGGGUCCAGUUUUAUUAUCAUGGAAAUGCUGGUACCCCUUGGGUGUGCAGUUUGAAGUCAGACAGACAGGGUCCUCUGCUCUCACUGCCCCUCUGUCCCUCCUCUUCCUGUGCAGAGGAGUCCUCACCCCACACCCCCAGGCCUGGCUCAAGGAUGAACAUCAUGAGACUCUGCACAGACAUGAGCUCCCUUCUCAGGAAUUUCUGGGUAUCUGAAUCAUGUUACUAAAUUGGAAAUUCUUUAUUUUCUAGCCACAAAAUUUACAAUUGUAUGAGAAGCUUAGUCCUUUCAUUUUGGUUGUCCUUACCCUCUUGUUAAGGUAGAUAUCAACAAUAAUUUAGGCAUAUUUAGAAGUAGAAAUAGUUGUUUCCUCCUUAGGAAAAAUUAAACCAUAAGAAACUGUAUAUUAUGGUUGCCAGUUAGGGGGCAAAUAUGUCCUGAUUAGAGCAUCUCGAUGACAUUCAUCUUUGUUUUUGACUUUAUUGUGUUGCACCCUUUUGUGGUUGUGCCAUUUGAAUUUUCAGGUAAUGGCCCAAUAUUCCACUUUUAUAUUUAAUUAUAAAUUAAUGCCAUCAUUCAUUCUCUAUGACAUACCAGUCCCUGCUAGGUACUUUUACAGAAAUGAGUAACACAUGGAAAUUGCUCACAAGUUAGUGAAGAUGAGAUAGGUUUUAUUUUUAAAGAUAAUAUACCAUAGUGAGCUUCAUCUUUAUGUAUAUCUGUAAUACACUUGAUUUUUUUGAAAAAGCUAUAUAUAAAUAUAAGACUGAUAGAAGAAAGGGAACCAAGAAAGGAAGGAGGAGAAGGAAAGAAAUACUGGGAACUAAAUUAGAGAAAAUUAAAUUCCAUGUUUGUAUAAUUAUGUCAAAAUGAACCCCGAUAUUAUAUAUUACUAUAAUGCACUAAUAAAAAGUUGUUUUUUUUUUUAAAGAUAGUACUCAUGGUGGUGGUCAUGGUAGGAGCUGCCAAUGAUAGGGCCUUUGCAAUGCCGAGAACAGGUGCUCAGGCAAAGGUUCACAGCAUGUGCUGAGUUGCCGAGAGCAGCCCACAGAAGGGCUUAAACUGAGAGUCUCAUGGGGAAGCUGGGCUGAGGCAGGUCCUUCCAUGGAGUCUGCAACACAUUCAGGACAGUCUCCACAGGCGCUGUAUCCAGUUCCCGGAUGUGAAGAUGUCUGGUACUUCAGAGGAGUCUCGGUCCAAAAAAUAAUUUCAAACUUAGGUUGGGAUACACACUGUGAACUGGGCACACAUGGUAGCAGUAUGUUUAGGACCUGUUUUCUUUUUCACUCUGGUUAGCUUACCACUACCCUGUGAACAGCUGCUCCUGUUACACAUUUGGUAUCAUAAUGUGCAUUUUCCUCCUAGCUAUGACCGCCUCACAGUGUUCUCUGUCUUGAGAAGAAAGCUAAAGGCUGGUUUUGAAGUGAGCGACAUAUCCAGUUUACAGCAGUAAGUUCCAUCUUCUUCUUUUUUUUUUUUUUUUUAAUUCUUGGUUUUAUUUCUUAUGCUUUAGGAUUCUUGUUAAGGAAAUCAGGGCCUAAUCCAACAUGAUGAAGAUUUGGGCCUACUUUUUCCUCUAUUAGGCACAGGGUUUCUGGUCUAAUUCCUAGGUCCUUGAAGUUCCAUCUUCUAAAUCAAGAUUUCAUUUUGUUGUUGCCACUGCCCACUCAGCAUGCUCAUGUAUAAUUAAGCAGAUGCUUGAAAUCUGUGUUUUAAAUGUAUUUAUUUAUUUAUUUUUGCAUUACAAUUCUUAAUACACCACUAUACCAUAAUUUAUCAUAUCUCUGAUUAUAUAUAAAGUAUGUUGACACCAAAUUCACAUCUUCAUACAUGUAUUUUGUAUAAUGAUGAGGGUCUUAUUUUGUUUUUUGGAUUAUGAAUAUUAGGAGAUAAUUGUCUUUAAAUACUAUAUCCACUGUCUGUCUUAGCUUUUUCACUGCUGUGACUAAAAGAUCGAAUCAGAAUGACUUUAGGGGAGGAAAAGUUUAUUUGGGGACUCGCGGUUUCAGAGGUCUCAGUCCAUAGACAGCUGGCUGCAUUCCUCUGGAUUCCAGGCAAAGCAGGACAUCAUGGUGAAAGAGUAUGGCAGAGGGAAGUGGCUCACACGAUGAUCAGAAAGCAGAGAGAGACACUCCACUUGCCAGAUACAAAAUACAUACCCCAAAGCCACACCCCCAGUGCUCUAUCUCCUCCAGCCUCACCCCACCUGUCUUCAGUUACCACUCAAUGCCACCAGUGAUUAAUUCACUGAUUGGGUUAAGGCUAUCCUAACCCAAUCCUUUCUCUGCUAAACCUUCUUUCAUUGUUUCACACAUUAGCUUUUGGCAGACACCUCACAUCCAAACCAUAACACUGUCUAUACUUACAUUCACUGACAAAAGAGAUUUAUAAACAUAAGAGAGUCAACAAUUUUUUUUAAUUUUUAGGUUUAGAUUUAGUUCAGUGUGAAUUUGGAUAAUUAUAAUUGAUUAUGUUAAUAUCUAUGGUAAUGUCACCUCUAGAUUUGUCUGACCUGGUUUAUACUUAUAGUCACAGCUUAAUUGUUAAUAGCUCUCUUGGUCUCUGAGAUGUAUCCAUUUUAAACAGUAAGUUUAAAAUUCACCCUAUUUUAAUAGCCACUGUUUCAUAUGAAACAAUUUAUAUUUAGAGUCUGAAACAGGGGUACAUCAAGGGCAAGCUUCUGUAGGCAGCAACCUUCUCUGUCUCAUUUGUCAAGCUGACCCAUGUUUAAUACAGAGCUUGUCCCUGGUAGGUGUUCCGUAAACAUUUGCUGAGUGAAUAUUAAGGGCAGAUCUGCACUUCCUUGGGUGUUGAGUUUUUGAGUUUUCCUACCUUGAUAUUCUUAUAAUAGGAAACUCUGCCUUUAUUACUUAAUCAACCAUAGUAUUUCCUGGACUAGUUGGUGAAUAAGAGAAUUUGUAAAUAAGACAUUAAUUACUAAUGUAAUUCUUGCUGACCUCAGAGAAGGGUCACCAGUCGUCCAGUGAUCAGGGCGCUAAGUGCAGCAGCUCAGCCCUGGUUUCCACAGCACUGACACCAUUGGGGAGGGGGCUGUAAACAAAGAGGUUUGGGGAAGCUCAGGGGAUGUCCAGAUAGAAGACAACACCUGAAGUCACACAGAGGCAGUAGCAUCAGGGACAUCUGGCCAGAAUCCAGGAGGUUCCAAGCCACAGCUCAGGUAUAGUAAGGACAAACUAGAGCCAGGUGGUUGUGAGCUGAUUGGGUAUGGCUUAGAACAAGCUUGUCCUGGUCUUGCUGGGAAAGAAGGAAGAAGAGUCCAGGCAAGACCAGGAGCACAGCCCAAUCCUAGAUAUAGUCAAAGAGCAGUGAGGCAGGGGACAUAGCACAGAGUCCCCAAGCAGUAUGGACUCCAGGCUCUACCUCUGAAAUCUUAUCAAAGAUUUCAUAAGGCUGAGCCCAGCCAGAAUACCUUAUUAGGUUAAGGGCCCAACACAGGGGACUCUAUAUGGAUACCAUUCUGUGGGUCUGCAGGGGCUAGAGGAUCUCUCUCCCCAAGCCAGGAUUGGUGUGUGACCUACAGGUGGGGAGUAAGCAGUGCCACCCACAGACAGGUACAGGUGGGAUAUAGAUAAGUCUACCUGUUUGGGUCGCUGCGUCUGAAAGACCUGACCAGAACAACUGUAGAGGAGGAAAGGUUUAUCUGAGAAAGGUUUAUCUGAGAGCUCACAGUUUCAAAGGUCUCAGUCCAUAGACAGCCAGCUCCAUUUCUUGGGGCUUGAAGUGAGGCAGAACAUCAUGGUGGAAGAGUAGGGAAAAGGGAAGCUUCUCACAUGGUGAUUAGUAAGCAGAGAGGGAAAGUCUUUCAGAUUCAAAUAUAUACCCCAUAGCCACGCCCCCAAUGAACCACUUCCUCCAGCUACACCCCACCUGCAUCCUGUCACCAUCCAGUUAAUACCAUCUGGAAUUAAUUCACUGAUUAGGUUAAGGCUAGAAUCCAAUCAUUUCUCCUCCAAACCUUUUGCAUUGUUUCACAUGUGAGCUUUUGCAGACAUCACAUCUAAACCAUAACACUACCUGAAACCCCUCCAACAUCUCCUAGCCUUGCCCUGGAGGCAGAAGAGGGAAGGGGGAAGAAUGUUGCAUCUGCAUGUUUGAAGUACACAUCUGCAUGCCUUAAUCUUCAUAAUAGCAUGAGAUUGGCAUUUUUCUCAUUUCCCGAUAAAAGUUCCUCAGGCCCAGCGGGUGCAGCUUCCCACCUCAAAGGCAGGUUCAGCACAGGCCUCCUUGUUCUGGAGUUCAUGCCAUGGUAGCCCUGUAUUCAGAAGCUCCUUGCACUGGGGCUCCAGGACAUGUUUGAAAACAACCUGCAGACCAUCAUGUGGUGUGUGUGUGUGUGUGUGUGUGUGUGUGUGUGAUCAGUUUUCUAAGUGUCUAUUUCCAUGUGUAAUUCUCAUUAUAUCUUUUCCUUUUUUUUUACUCACAGUCACCCACAAAACCUACUUCCCAGUAUUUUUAUUGUGAUUUUUAUGAUUCUUUAUGGAUUUUUGGUUACUAAAAGCAGAUGUAUAGAUAAUCAUGAAAAAAAGAAAAUGGGAUACAUUUUUCUGCAAGAAUAUACCCCACCUGGCCACAAGUUGUAUGCUGUUGUCAUUGACACUGGCUUCAGGGCACCAGCUCGAUUUACCUCAAAGGUAACAUAAGGCCCUGGGGAUACUUCGGUGGAGUCUAAGUGUGUAGCCUUCAAUGC